GGCCCCUUAGCUCAGUCGGUCAGAGCAGACGACUCAUAAUCGUUUGGUCCCCAGUUCAAGUCCGGGAGGGGCCACCA
rnacentral:tRNA from 1 species